rnacentral:tRNA from 1 species
GCACCCGUAGCUCAGCUGGAUAGAGCGACGGUCUCCGAAGCCGUAGGUCAGCAGUUCGAAUCUGCUCGGGUGUA